UACGUAGGGGGCAAGCGUUGUCCGGAUUUAUUGGGCGUAAAGAGCGUGUAGGCGGCUUUGCAAGUCCGGUGUGAAAACUCGAGGCUCAACCUCGAGACGCCGGUGGAAACUGCAAAGCUAGAGUCCGGAAGAGGAGAGUGGAAUUCCUGGUGUAGCGGUGAAAUGCGCAGAUAUCAGGAAGAACACCCGUGGCGAAGGCGGCUCUCUGGGACGGUACUGACGCUGAGACGCGAAAGCGUGGGGAGCGAACAGG
rnacentral:rRNA from 1 species